CAGUCGCCACGGGAAUACGGAGGGCGCGAGCGUUACCCGGAUUUACUGGGCGUAAAGGGCGUGUAGGCGGCCUGGGGCGUCCCAUGUGAAAGGCCACGGCUCAACCGUGGAGGAGCGUGGGAUACGCUCAGGCUAGAGGGUGGGAGAGGGUGGUGGAAUUCCCGGAGUAGCGGUGAAAUGCGCAGAUACCGGGAGGAACGCCGAUGGCGAAGGCAGCCACCUGGUCCACUUCUGACGCUGAGGCGCGAAAGCGUGGGGAGCAAACCGGAUUAGAUACCCCAGUAGUCCCUGUCUCUUAUAA
rnacentral:rRNA from 1 species